rnacentral:rRNA from 1 species
GGACUACUAGGGUUUCUAAUCCUGUUUGCUCCCCACGCUUUCGUGCCUGAACGUCGGUGCUGGACCAGGAAGCCGCUCUCGCCACUGGUGUUCCUUCAGAUAUCUACGCAUUUCACCGCUACGCCUGAAAUUCCGCUUCCCUCUUCCGCACCCUAGCUAUGCAGUCUCGAAUGCAAUUCCCAGGUUGAGCCCGGGGCUUUCACACCCGACUUACAUAACCGUCUACGCACGCUUUACGCCCAGUAAUUCCGAUUAACGCUCGCACCUUCUGUAUUACCGCGGCUGCUGGCAC